rnacentral:lncRNA from 1 species
UUAUGAUAAGCUUUGUGUUUUAAAGUUGUUUUCGAUGAUGGAAUAUCCGAUACGGUGAGUGAUUUCGCUAGAAAUGAUCUAUCGUAUUAAAACUAUCUAAAAAUCAAAAUUUAUAAUCUAUUGACUUUAUUUGUUUAGUAAAUAAAUAAUCUAAAAUUGAACCAUUGAAAAUAAAAAUCUCAUAAAAAAUAGUGAUAGAAAACUUAAAUUUCAGAUCGGAAGAAAUAACCUUACUCUUGAUGGUUAAUGAAUUUUCUAUUAAAAUUUUAUCUAAUUUAGAUUGUUCUACGUUAUUGAACUUACAAACAUAGCCCAUCGUUUAUUAAAAUAGUUAUUUUUAGAAUCAUUUGAUCACUUAGCAAAUUAUGUCGAAAAAUUUCAAAUUUUGGUUUUUAGAUAGUUUCAAUAGCAAAGGUCAUGUCUAGAGAAGCCGAUCGUUGAAUUGAAUAUUUUAUCAUCGAAAACAACUUAAAAAUAUAUUACUAUAACUGACCGUUCCUAGCGCAAGUGAUAAAGGGUUUGAUGGUUGGUACCCGAGAUCCAAGUUCGAAUCAUAGUUGAUUUACAUUUCCAGCUAAAUUUAUUUCUAAAUAAAAUAAACGAAGCAGGCAGCAUGUUACCUUUCUCUCAAUAUAUAUAUAUAUAUAUAUAUAUAUAGUAGGGCUACUGUAUUAUUAGGAGCACAACAGUCUUUGUGCUCCUAACUUUCUAACCAUCUAUCAAGUUUGAUGGGUGGUUAGAAUGAGAGAGGGAUGAGAUAUAAGGAUUGCUGUACUCCUAAUAGUACAGUAGUCCUGCUCUAUAUAUAUAUAUAUAUAUAUAUAUAUAUAUAUAUAUAUAUAUAUAUAUAUAGAAUUAUGCUACUAUACUAUCAAUAGUACCAAGCCCUUUGUACUAUUGAGUUUUUAGCCGUUGGAUGAAAGGAUGUGCGGUUAGGAUGAUAGUGGUCCCCGGUUAAAUUAAUAGUGGUCCCCUAGGGUUGAGUGGGUGGUUGGUUUAAUAGUAUAAUCUAACGGGUGGAAAUGAUCAAAGGGUAGAUCUAACGGUAGAAAACUCAAUAGUACCAAGGGCUUGGUACUAUCGAUAGUAUAGCAGCGGGACUCUAUAUAUAUA